rnacentral:rRNA from 1 species
CAGUCGCCACGGUAAUACGAAGGGGGCUAGCGUUGCUCGGAAUCACUGGGCGUAAAGGGCGCGUAGGCGGACUUUUAAGUCGGGGGUGAAAGCCCAGGGCUCAACCCUGGAAUUGCCUUCGAUACUGAGAGUCUUGAGUUCGGAAGAGGUUGGUGGAACUGCGAGUGUAGAGGUGAAAUUCGUAGAUAUUCGCAAGAACACCAGUGGCGAAGGCGGCCAACUGGUCCGAUACUGACGCUGAGGCGCGAAAGCGUGGGGAGCAAACAGGAUUAGAUACCCCGGUAGUCCCUGUCUCUUAUAC